rnacentral:rRNA from 1 species
GACGAACGCUGGCGGCGUGCUUAACACAUGCAAGUCGAACGAUGAACCGGGUGCUUGCACUUGGGGAUUAGAGGCGAACGGGUGAGUAACACGUGAGUAACCUGCCCUGGACUCUGGGAUAACCCCGAGAAAUCGGAGCUAAUACCGGAUAGGACCUUUCCCCGCAUGGGGUUUGGUGGAAAGUUUUUCGGUCUGGGAUGGACUCGCGGCCUAUAAGCUUGUUGGUGAGGUAAUGGCUCACCAAGGCGUCGACGGGUAGCCGGCCUGAGAGGGUGACCGGCCACACUGGGACUGAGACACGGCCCAGACUCCUACGGGAGGCAGCAGUGGGGAAUAUUGCACAAUGGGCGCAAGCCUGAUGCAGCAACGCCGCGUGCGGGAUGACGGCCUUCGGGUUGUAAACCGCUUUUAGUAGGGAAGAAGGGCUUCGGCUUGACGGUACCUGCAGAAAAAGGACCGGCUAACUACGUGCCAGCAGCCGCCGUAAGAC